AGGAAACUAAAUCAUUUUUCCACCUUAGUACGGGAGACGGAAAAGGUAAUUUUAAGCAAUAGAGAAAGUACCGCAAGGGAAAGCUGAAAGAGUAAUGAAAUAAUUCAUAUAAGCACAAAAAAGCAGAGCCUAACCCUCGUACCUUUUGCAUCAUGAUUUAGCCAGCACCACACAAGCGAAGUGACCUUUAGUUUGAAAUCCCGAAACCAAGUGAGCUACCCCGGGACAGCCUGUUUGGGCGAACCCGUCUCUGUGGCAAAAGAGUGGGAAGAGCCCCGGGUAGAGGUGAUAAACCUACCGAACUUGGUGAUAGCUGGUUGCCUAAGAAAUGAAUAGAAGUUCAGCCUCGUACCCCUUUAGCCAACCAGGAAAUAUCUAAGUAAGCAUAGAAGAGAAAUACGAGAGUUAGUUAAAGGGGGUACAGCCCCUUUAAUAAAGGACACAACCUUAAAUAGGAGGAUAAGAGUCACAUUUUAUAAAACUAGUCGUUCCAGUGGGCCUAAAAGCAGCCAUCUGAAUAGAAAGCGUUAAAGCUCAAACGACAUGCAGUUUAUUAUACUGAUAAGUAGCCCAAUUCCCCUAAAAAUAUUAGGCCGUUCCAUGUUACCAUGGAAGAGACCAUGCUAGAAUGAGUAAUAAGAGGGUGCAACCCUCUCCUAGCACAAGUGUAAGCCAGAUCGGACAAGCCACUGGAAAUUAACGAACCCAUAAAAAGAGGGCAAUGUGUUUACUAAAGAAUUCAAGAAAAUAACACAACAUUUACAUCGUUAAACCCACACUGGAGUGCAUCAAGGAAAGACUAAAAGAAAGGGAAGGAACUCGGCAAACACAAGCCUCGCCUGUUUACCAAAAACAUCGCCUCCUGCAAACCCCUACGUAUAGGAGGUCCAGCCUGCCCGGUGACUACAAGUUUAACGGCCGCGGUAUUUUGACCGUGCAAAGGUAGCGCAAUCACUUGUCUUUUAAAUGAAGACCUGUAUGAAUGGCUAAACGAGGGCUUAACUGUCUCCCUUUUCAGG
rnacentral:rRNA from 2 species